CAGUAGCCACGGUAAUACGUAGGGUGCAAGCGUUAUCCGGAAUUAUUGGGCGUAAAGAGCUCGUAGGCGGUUUGUCGCGUCUGCUGUGAAAACUGGAGGCUCAACCUCCAGCCUGCAGUGGGUACGGGCAGACUAGAGUGCGGUAGGGGAGAUUGGAAUUCCUGGUGUAGCGGUGGAAUGCGCAGAUACCAGGAGGAACACCGAUGGCGAAGGCAGAUCUCUGGGCCGUAACUGACGCUGAGGAGCGAAAGCAUGGGGAGCGAACAGGAUUAGAUACCCGCGUAGUCCCUGUCUCUUAUAA
rnacentral:rRNA from 1 species